CCAGUCUGCCGCUGGCAGCACGGUCAAGAAGGAUUUCCCCACGCCUCGGCCAAGCACCAUCCAGUCUGCCGCUGUAAGCUAAGGGCAGCACGGUCAAGAAGGAUUUCCCCAUGCCUCGUCGAAGCACCAUCCAGUCUGCCACUGUGAGCUACAGACGGACACUCCCUCCAAGGUCUGACUAGGACAUGGGCCAGACAACAGCAAGACAGCUGCUAAAUAUAUGGCAGAAGAGAUUGGUCCC